rnacentral:rRNA from 1 species
UGGGGAAUAUUGGACAAUGGGGGCAACCCUGAUCCAGCAAUACCGCGUGAGUGAAGAAGGCCUUCGGGUUGUAAAGCUCUUUUACCGGGGAAGAUAAUGACGGUACCCGGGGAAUAAGCUCCGGCUAACUUCGUGCCAGCAGCCGCGGUAAUACGAAGGGAGCUAGCGUUGUUCGGAAUUACUGGGCGUAAAGGGCGCGUAGGCGGUUUUGUAAGUCAGAUGUGAAAGCCCCGGACUUAACCUGGGAACUGCAUUUGAGACUGCAAGACUAGAGAUCGAGAGAGGAAAGUGGAAUUACGAGUGUAGAAGUGAAAUUCGUAGAUAUUCGUAGGAACACCGGUGCCGAAGGCGACUUUCUGGCUCGACCCUGACGCUAAAGCGCGAAAGCGUGGGGA